GUUCUCCAUAGAUUGGAUCAAUGAUUAGAUAUUUGUGUUUUUACUGCUACAUUAUGACUAUACAUAUAAUUUCAGGGUCAAUGAUUAGAAAGCUGUUUUGAUCUUCUCAAAAAUGCUCAGGUAAUCAUGUUUGAAUUUAAAAACCAAUGUCACUUUUUCAAAAAAUAUUUUCUAUAUAAAGUAGGUAACAGGAUCUAAGUUAUAAGAGUAUACGUUCUGACCAUUCAAGUUAAUUGAGGUAUAUUCAGACCAAAUGAAAAAAUAAAAGGAACCAGUGAACAGUUUUUGUUAUAAGUCACUUUAAACUUCAUGCUGGUUGCUUUCCAUGGGGUUCAAUAACAGACUGAGGCUUACCCUAGGAAGGCUAUGGUAAAACCACAUACCUGUAGGGAAAAUUGUUUAGAUCCCUUCCUGAGUACAUUGGCAAGGUUAAUGGAUCAGACUAUUGAGCUGUGACUGGACAAAUUGAGGAUCUGAUAAAAUAUUGGUGAACUUUGGUGCAGAAGCAGUGAACUGGGUCAUAGCAGAGAUGGGCAUAGGUGGUAAGGGCCUGGGAAAGACACCUGGAAGAAAAAAGAGACAAAAAAAAAAAAGGCUUUAUUCAGGCACAGUUACAUCAAGAGCCUGGCCUGCAUUGGAGGAGCUUCGGCUACUGGAUAUCGACAGAUGUUGGUAUACUGGCAUGGCAGGAAGGAAACGUAUCUGAGAAGUACGAAUCAUGGUUUGAUGUGGGCUCUGCAUUUAUCAGGUAUAUGAUUUUGUACAGUACCUAUUUGAGAUAAAGCUUCCAUUUCUUCAGUUGGAGAAUGAUUGAGUCAAACCGUUUAAACCAUCUCUUGUCCUGGUAAUGCUCCAUGACUCUAAGAUGAUCUGACCCUUGUACUGUAUUCUGUAUGUAAUGAGAGAUACAUCUGUCAGUAAAGCUGAGGAAAUACUCUGUUGUCUGCUGAAGAUCCUAGUGCCCAUUUGCCUUGCAUCUCUACUUUUUCAUUGAUGAAAAGUGAUGAGAGCAUAAAACAUAAUUUAUAAUUAUUUUCAGAAACAUACUAUAAAGCUUUAAAACCUACAUGGUUGACAAUUGGAAAAGGCUUAGCCAGAACACUAUUAAUAAUUCUGAAUUGUAUGUGAUCUCAAUUGUACGUGAUUCUUAAAAAAAAAUUUUGUUAACUAAAUCUUACUGUGUAUUAUUAUAUACUUUAAGAACCUUAUAAUUCUUGUUUUCACCAAAAGUACAGAUAGAAAACCAAUGGAACAAUGUGAU
rnacentral:lncRNA from 1 species